rnacentral:lncRNA from 1 species
CAUUGCAGCACCUGUAGCAACGUGGCGCCCAUGGCAUCGCAUCACCUGCAGCACUUACAGCACCUACAGCACUGCAGCACACUCAGUAUUGCAAUGUUGUGGCUUGGAGCACAGAGCCAGGCUGGCAGCAGGAGAAGGGCAGCUGUGAGCACAGUGCUCUGAUAGGAACAAAUUGCACCUGCUGGGCUCCGGGCCAGCACAGACAGACAUGCCUGCAAGGAAGCAGGAGAAGGAAGCUGAGGCCUCAUGGAUCAAAGGUAUUGGAAUGGGAAGUGGAACGGAGGCAAGCACACCCCCUGCCUUGCUGUCUCUGGUGCCUUUGGGAUGCAAAAGAUGCUGUGGCUGGCAGAUCCAUUCCGCUCUCUGACCAGAUGGAACACCUGAUGGCUGCAAAAUGGAGCCGUCCCCUCUGGAAACUAUUAUUUCUUCCCUGGAUGUGACACGUUUCAGGUCUGAGUGGCUGCUGACCAGGAAGCAGCAAAGGCAGCACUUCACCCAGCUGCUCCUCAGCCCCCUGCCAAGGAGCAGAGAUUGGGGCAAUGUGGUGCUCACUCCUGCUGUCAGCUCAGAGCAAAGCAGCUUCUGCUGAGUGAGAGUCUGUGGUUUUAGUUUGUGGUUCUGUGCCAAUGUAUAUCCGAGCUCACAGGGCACAUUGCUGCUGGGUAUCUCAUGGGUCCACACUGAGCCUGGGAAAGAAAGGCUGCUGAGGGGUCCUGGUGGGAGCUCUCAGUGCUUCAAGGCUGUGUCUGAUGAUGGCUGGCAGCAUCCCUUGAUCCAUCCAGCUGAGCCAGCAGAUCCAAGGAGGAGUGACAUGGUUACAUGCCUGCAGCUGGCAGGUGCACACAGAUGUGCACACAUGCAUGCAACGGGUCCCAGUGAGCUCGCAUGGCAAAGCAAGGCAAGUCAAGGCAGUCUCUUUCCAGCCCUGCAUGGGAGACGGGCAGCAUCGCAGCGGACAGCCGCUCCCCUCCCGGCGCUGCACAUCGUCUGCCCGCAGGCUCCAUCUGGUGGAAAAUCCUCACCCAUAAAGCGGAGAAGAAUCCAGCCCUCGGUCCAGGACCGUGGGACCGCGGCUCAGGGAGCAUCCCGGCUUCCAAACCGCUUGGUAAGGCAAUGCGUCCCUGGACGGUUACUCCGAGAAAUAAAUGUGGUGGAAUUUAUUUCAACAGAUGGAGGACGAUUUUCUCCCGGCCGUUUAAGUGACACAUCGUGCACCUCCCUUCGCCAGCAUCCCUGUGCAGCAGAUUGA